GUGCUGGCUUUGGCAUCACCUAUACUAAAAUUGGAACAAUACAGAGAAGAUGAACAUGGCUCCUGCUCAGGGAUUUUUAAAAAUAAUAAAAAUGGGU
ensembl:snRNA U6 U6 spliceosomal RNA